AUACGUAGGGGGCGAGCGUUGUCCGGAAUGAUUGGGCGUAAAGGGCGCGUAGGCGGCCGCUUAAGUCUGGAGUGAAAGUCCUGUUUUCAAGAUGGGAAUUGCUUUGGAUACUGGGGGGCUUGAGUGCAGGAGAGGUUAUCGGAAUUCCCGGUGUAGCGGUGAAAUGCGUAGAGAUCGGGAGGAACACCAGUGGCGAAGGCGGGUAACUGGACUGCAACUGACGCUGAGGCGCGAAAGUGUGGGGAGCAAACAGGAUUAGAUACCCUGGUAGUCCACACUGUAAACGAUGAAUGCUAGGUGUAAGAGGUAUCGACCCCUUUUGUGCCGGAGUCAACACAAUAAGCAUUCCGCCUGGGGAGUACGGCCGCAAGGUUGAAACUCAAAUGAAUCGACGGGG
rnacentral:rRNA from 1 species